UUUCUUAAUUGGAAUAAUACUUUAAACUGUGUGAUUCUUGGUAUUUUUAAAGUAAUUGAUGAUUGAUUCUAUCAACUAGUUGUUUAUCUGUUGUAGUUUGAUUUUUUUUUAAAAAAAGCAAAAAAUAAAUGCAUAGCAUUGUGUUUAUUUAAGCAUACAUGCUGUUUAUUAAGCAUACAAAGAUUUUAUUUUCACUUUAGUACUGCUUAAUAAGUUAUGAGCCAAUUAUGCUGCCCACCUUACCUAGGAAAUAAGCACGUUAAGGGCUUCAGUAUUUAAAAGUUUGUUUCUAUCAUUCUGUCAACUAAUUUCUUGAUUGUCUUGACUUAAUUCUUUAGAAAUUGAAAAUUAAAUGACAUUGUUAAUUUUCUUAAUUGGAAUAAUACUUUAAACUGUGUGAUUCUUGGUAUUUUUAAAGUGAUUAUUGAUUUGAUCAACUAGUUGUUUAACUGUUAUAUUUGAAUUUUUUUUUUUUUUUUAGAUAAUGAGAAAUAAAUACAUAAUGUUAUGUUUAUUUAAGCAUACAUGCUGCUUAUUAAGCAUGUAAAAAUUUUAUUUUCACUUUAGUGAGUGCUUAAUAGGUUAUGUGCUAAUUUGAAAAAUAAAAAAUUUUUGGUACUUUAAUGAGUCACCUUAGUUAUCUGCACAUUAGUUAGGUAAUUUGUAGAAUAACUAAUUUCUAAACUUUAGUGGUAACAUUUCACCUUUUGCUUUAUAACAAGCAGCUUUCUUCUUAUAGAUAGAUGCCUGCUUGUGUUUUUUUUUUUAGCGUUAUUCUAUCUUAUUAUUAAUUAAGUUGGGGGAAAUUUUAUGCCAAAAGUUUAAUAAAUAUUAAAUUGUGUAUGAUGAGGCAAGCUCCCUGACCCAGAGCCAAUGGAGCACUUAGUCAAAUUGCCAAAAAGUUGAAAUUUACUUUAGCUUGUUAAAAUACUAGAGAGUGGAGGUAUUUCUCCAUUUGCUCUCUUUAUAUUAACAAAUCGUUAAAAGUUAAAUAAAAAAAAAUUAACUUUUUGAUGAACUUUUAUUUGUAAUAAAAAAAUAUUACAUAAUACUGCACCAGUUGUAUAUUUUAUUACAACUUUUUCUUAAAAAUUAAAUUUGUAAGAAAUAUGGAAUAAAAAUUAAGAAUCUGCAAUUUAAGUAGAUUGGUUUGUUCUGAUCAGUAAGAAUGGGCCACAAUUUUCUAAACCAGAAUUGACUGUUAUAAUCUAUAAGUUUUUAAUGUGUACUACUAUAGAUAAUUUUUUACAUAAUUAUUUUAUGUGUUUGUAAACAACAUUUCUAGAAAAAAGUAUUAUGAUGUCAUAUAGAAAUUAUGAUCUGUAUUGCUUGAUAAGUUCUUAAUCCAUCUAAUGUUUAAAGUUGAAAAGAUUCAUAGCUUGCUCCCCUGAAUCGUUAUUAUAAAACCUUUUAUUAUUGCUAACUAUUGAUGUUGAAUCAAAAGAUAACUUUUAGUGAGUCUUGUAGCUUACUAUUAGAUUUUUAAAAAAAUUAACUAUACGAACUGAAAUCUACUGCCUAAAUUGUUAAAAGGUUUCUUCUAGAGAAUUUGAAAAAUUUGUUUGUUAAAAUAUAAGUAAAAAAAUUAAGUUUUUUAAUCAGUGUGUUAUUGAAUAAUUAUUUUGGUAUUACAGUUUAUCUGUUUAAAGAAGAGGCAAUUAUGAAUCAUUGCCAGUUUCCUUGCUUGAUAAAAUUUGACUUUGACAAUUUAACCCUUUUAUGUACCAAAAAAGUAUUAGAUAUUUAACUUUCAUUUAAACUUAUAAUGUGCUGGUAGUCCCAAAUUAAAAAUUUCAUGAAAAAUUUGAAUAUAAUAUUGAAAAAAUAUUUGUGAAAGUGUAAAAUGGGCAAAUGGAACAAAUUAAUGGGACAAAAAAUUAUAUGGAACAUAUUUAAUGGAACAAAAAAGUUCUGCACAUUUUUUAUUAUGUUUUAAUAGUUUGGUAAGUAAAAUGUUAAAUCAAAUAACUUAUAAAGGAAUCAUCUUUUUUCUUAUUUUAAGACAUAAAUUAUGUUAUUAAUUCACCUCAAUUUGCAAGUUGUUGCAGUUUCUUUCUGCAAUACUUUCAAUACAGAAGAAACCAAACCUUUGCGCUGUAACAUUAAAUGUUACAGCACAAUUUGCUAAGAACAAUAAAUAUGAUAAGUAAU